rnacentral:lncRNA from 1 species
GGUCUCAAAAAAAAAAAAGAAAGAUCAGUCUAGUAGGAGUACAUAAAAUAGAAUGGAAAGGAAAGACUUAGAGCCAGGCUAUUGUAUCAAUUGUGGGUGUGAAAUAGUAGGGACCUUACUAGUAUAGUAGCCAUAGGAACAUUAAGAAGAUGAUUUGGGAAACAUUAAGAAAACACAAAAUUAGUACCUGACCAAUGAUAAGAAGGAAAGAACGAGUAAAAAAAUGGCCUCAAAGUUGUAAACCUAAGUUGCUUAAAGAAAAUCGAAGGGCAUUGGAAGAGAGAUGAUAAUUUUACUGUCAGACAACAGGAGUUUGAAAUAACACAGGAAUACACCAAAGAUAAGUCGCAAGACAUGGACUGGUAAUGCAGACUUGGAUGUCUUGUGUAUAAUGACAAUAGCUGAAGCUCUACAGAUAGAGGAAUUCUGUGGUAGCCAGCCUUCAAGAUCGCUCCCCAUGAUCCCCACCUACUGUUAUUGACAACCUUGUGCUGUCUGUCCCCUCCCACAUCAUACCAGGGUUGGUAUGGUGGAAGUGGUGGUAUGUCACUCCCAAGCUUAGGUUCUAAAAUAACUGAGGCAGCUGUCUGGGUUGCUCUCUCUCUCUGAGAGAAGCCAGUUGCCAUGUCAUAAGCAGCCCUUACUACACAGAUAACUACGUGGAGAGGAAGUGAGGCCUCCAGCCAACAGCCAGCAAGGAAGUGAAGCCUGCCAACAACCAUGAGAGGGAGGCUGGAAGCAGACCUGCAGUGCACUCAAGCUUCCAGGAUCAAUCACAGUGGGAGCAAGCCAACUGCCACAUAAUGGAAGGCACUCAAGCAACCCUAUGGAGAGUCCCACAAGGUAACUGAAGGUUCUGGCCAAAAGAUAGUGAAGAACUGAGGCUUCAUGUCAACAGCUGAGUGAGUGAACUUGAGAGCAGAUUCUCCAGCCCCAGUCAAGCCUUUGGAUUACUGCAGGCUUGGUCAAUCAUCUUUAUUUUGAUUUUAUGAGAGACCUCACUCCUGAACCACCAGAAGAGUCUAUAGUAGUCAUCCUAAAGCUGAAAGACGUUACACUUAAGGAACUACUACAUACAAGAAGUCUCUCCUGGAUCAUAUUUGUAAUAGAUGCCAACAUCAUGGAUUUCCAGCUGAUGUUGUGACUUUGGAGAGGAUAUGGAUGGGAAGAGGUUACUUGCAGGUGAGAAUAAGGUAAACAAUUUGUGUGCAGAGGUUAGACUGUAGGUAGUUCUAAAAUAUGUCCACAAAUUAUUUGCUAUUCCUCCCUUAAAUAGGUGAAGUCUCAUUCCCCUCUCCUUGAGUACAGGCUGAACUUAGCUACUUAUUUCUAACUAAUAGAAUAAAACAGUAGUGACAGUAUGCUACUUUUGAGGGCAAGUCAUAAAGUCACUGUGGUUUUCAUCUUUCUUUCUCUCGGUUCACCCUAGGGAAAGACAAUUCCCAUGUCAUGAAGACACUUCACCGGCCAAGUGGGAAGGCUCACAUCAUGAGCCUAAGGAAACUGAUGCUCAAAGGUGCUUAUUUAAGGUCACACAGCUAAUAAGUGCUAGAGUUAGGAUUCAGAGUCAGACAUUUCAAUUCUAGAGACCGUACUCCUAAACAUUACCCUAUAAUGUCGUACAACAAUCCAGUGAAAUAGGUUAAUAUUAAUCAUCCUCAUUUCCCCAAAUUGGAAAAUGGGGGUAAUAAUCAUCCCUAUUUUACAAAUGAGGAAGUUGGACAUCAAGAAGUAUGGGAGAGUUAGGAUUUAAAUCCAGAUAUUCUGACUGCAGAGACUAGCCUCUUAGCCACUUAGCCAUAUUGCCUUCUCUGACUUAUAAUGUUAGUAAGAAGAGUUGGCUGGGCGCAGUGGCUCACACUUGUAAUCCCAGCACUUUGGGAGGCCAAGGUGGG